GACGAACCGUGCGAACGUUGUUCGGAAUCACUGGGCUUAAAUGGCGCGUAGGCGGCUUUGCAAGUGUCGGGUGAAAUCCCUCGGCUUAACCGAGGAACUGCCUGUCAGACUGCAUGGCUUGAGACCGGGAGAGGUGAGUGGAAUUCCCAGUGUAGCGGUGAAAUGCGUAGAUAUUGGGAGGAACACCAGUGGCGAAGGCGGCUCACUGGACCGGUACUGACGCUGAGGCGCGAAAGCGUGGGGAGCAAACAGG
rnacentral:rRNA from 1 species